rnacentral:rRNA from 1 species
GACGAGUGGCGGACGGGUGAGUAAUGCUUGGGAACUUGCCUUUGCGAGGGGGAUAACAGUUGGAAACGACUGCUAAUACCGCAUAAUGUCUUCGGACCAAACGGGGCUUAGGCUCCGGCGCAAAGAGAGGCCCAAGUGAGAUUAGCUAGUUGGUAAGGUAAAGGCUUACCAAGGCAACGAUCUCUAGCUGUUCUGAGAGGAAGAUCAGCCACACUGGGACUGAGACACGGCCCAGACUCCUACGGGAGGCAGCAGUGGGGAAUAUUGCACAAUGGGGGAAACCCUGAUGCAGCCAUGCCGCGUGUGUGAAGAAGGCCUUCGGGUUGUAAAGCACUUUCAGUUGUGAGGAAAAGUUAGUAGUUAAUACCUGCUAGCCGUGACGUUAACAACAGAAGAAGCACCGGCUAACUCCGUGCCAGCAGCCGCGGUAAUACGGAGGGUGCGAGCGUUAAUCGGAAUUACUGGGCGUAAAGCGCACGCAGGCGGUUUGUUAAGCUAGAUGUGAAAGCCCCGGGCUCAACCUGGGACGGUCAUUUAGAACUGGCAGACUAGAGUCUUGGAGAGGGGAGUGGAAUUCCAGGUGUAGCGGUGAAAUGCGUAGAUAUCUGGAGGAACAUCAGUGGCGAAGGCGACUCCCUGGCCAAAGACUGACGCUCAUGUGCGAAAGUGUGGGUAGCGAACAGGAUUAGAUACCCUGGUAGUCCACACCGUAAACGCUGUCUACUAGCUGUGUGUGCCUUUAAGGCGUGCGUAGCGAAGCUAACGCGAUAAGUAGACCGCCUGGGGAGUACGGCCGCAAGGUUAAAACUCAAAUGAAUUGACGGGGGCCCGCACAAGCGGUGGAGCAUGUGGUUUAAUUCGAUGCAACGCGAAGAACCUUACCUACACUUGACAUGCAGAGAACUUUCUAGAGAUAGAUUGGUGCCUUCGGGAACUCUGACACAGGUGCUGCAUGGCUGUCGUCAGCUCAUGU